GUCGGAGUGGCGGAAUUGGCAGACGCGCCAGCUUGAGGGGCUGGUGGGAGAAUAUCCCGUGGGGGUUCAAGUCCCCCCUCCGACA
rnacentral:tRNA from 1 species